UCGGGAAUUUUGGGCAAUGGGGGAAACCCUGACCCAGCAACGCCGCGUGAAGGAUGAAGUAUUUCGGUAUGUAAACUUCGAAAGAAUAGGAAGAAUUAAUGACGGUACUAUUUAUAAGGUCCGGCUAACUACGUGCCAGCAGCCGCGGUAAUACGUAGGGACCAAGCGUUGUUCGGAUUUACUGGGCGUAAAGGGCGCGUAGGCGGCAUGGCAAGUCACUUGUGAAAUCUCCGAGCUUAACUCGGAACGGCCAAGUGAUACUGCCGCGCUAGAGUGCGGAAGGGGCAAUCGGAAUUCUUGGUGUAGCGGUGAAAUGCUUAGAUAUCAAGAGGAACACCUGAGGUGAAGACGGGUUGCUGGGCCGACACUGACGCUGAGGCGCGAAAGCCAGGGGAGCAAACG
rnacentral:rRNA from 1 species